rnacentral:rRNA from 1 species
CCUACGGGGUGCAGCAGUCGAGAAUCAUUCACAAUGGGGGAAACCCUGAUGGUGCGACGCCGCGUGGGGGAAUGAAGGUCUUCGGAUUGUAAACCCCUGUCAUGUGGGAGCAAAUUAAAAAGAUAGUACCACAAGAGGAAGAGACGGCUAACUCUGUGCCAGCAGCCGCGGUAAUACAGAGGUCUCAAGCGUUGUUCGGAAUCACUGGGCGUAACGCGUGCGUAGGCUGUUUCGUAAGUCGUGUGUGAAAGGCGCGGGCUCAACCCGCGGACGGCACAUGAUACUGCGAGACUAGAGUAAUGGGGGGGGAGCCGGAAUUCUCGGUGUAGCAGUGAAAUGCGUAGAUAUCGAGAGGAACACUCGUGGCGAAGGCGGGUUCCUGGACAUUAACUGACGCUGAGGCACGAAGGCCAGGGGAGCGAAAGGGAUUAGAUACCCGGGUAGUC